rnacentral:lncRNA from 1 species
UCUUGCAAUCUGUUCAUUUACUGCUUUGUUUUCUGCUGCGAGUGACUCCAGCUUGGACUCAUCUACCUUGUACAAGUCCUCUGCAGACAAAGCCCAAACACCUCAUCAGAAUCAACUCGAAACACUUUCCAGGUUUUCAGCAGCUUGUUCCCUCACUUCCCCAAACCACCAAAGUGGCAGAUGCUGCCUUCUGUACUGGCAAGCUUCAUUUUCCUCCUGGAAUGUCCCCUUGCCCUUAGUCUGCUGAAGCUUCUUCCACCGCACUUGAGGCUGUUGGCCCACAGUUCCUCACUGAAUUUCCAUUCCUUUCUACCUAACAGAAUACCA